rnacentral:rRNA from 1 species
GUAGGGUGCGAGCGUUAAUCGGAAUUACUGGGCGUAAAGCGUGCGCAGGCGGUUUUGUAAGCCAGAUGUGAAAUCCCCGGGCUUAACCUGGGAAUGGCAUUUGGGACUGCAAGGCUUGAGUGCGGCAGAGGAGACUGGAAUUCCCGGUGUAGCAGUGAAAUGCGUAGAUAUCGGGAGGAAUACCGAUGGCGAAGGCAGGUCUCUGGGCUGACACUGACGCUCAUGCACGAAAGCGUGGGGAGCAAACAGGAUUAGAUACCCUGGUAGUCCACGCCCUAAACGAUGUCGACUGGUUGUUGGGGGUUUGACACUCUCAGUAACGAAGCUAACGCGUGAAGUCGACCGCCUGGGGAGUACGGCCGCAAGGUA